CGUUCCAUUAUAGACAAUCGCGCUGUCCCGGUAAAACGGGAUGUGAGGAAAGUCCGGACUCCGUCAGGGCAGUGAUGCCGGGAGAAAUUCCCGGGUGCAUGAUGCGCAAGCUUCUUGUACAGAAAGUGUCACAGAAAAUAUACCGUCCCGCUUGCGGGAUAAGGGUGAAAAGGCAGGGUAAGAGCCUACCAUUCAGGAAGCAAUUCCUGAGAUUGACAAACCUCAUCAGGAGCAAGGCCAAGUAGGGAGAAUGAAAGACUGCCCGUUUCAAUAUUCUCCGGGUAGGCUGCAAAAAGCCUCACAGCAAUGUGAGGAUAAGAUAAAUGAUUGUCGUUCCGCUUCGGCGGAAAACAGAAUCCGGCUUAUUUAAUGGAACGGAAU
rnacentral:RNase_P_RNA from 1 species